GCCCAGCACCGAAUCCUUCACCGUAUUGGUGACAGGAAAUGUGGUGUUUAGGCCGUACCUUGUGCUGAUACGUCUCUCCUCAAGUCCACUUGAUUGUGGCCUCAGGCCCAGAGAGGGUGUAAGGCCCGUGGAGGCGAGAUGUUCAGUACCCGGUGCGUCCUUAGAGUCGGGUUGUUUGGGAAUGCAGCCCUAAGCGGGUGGUAAACUCCAUCCAAGGCUAAAUACUAGCACGAGUCCGAUAGCGAAGAAGUACCGCGAGGGAAAGUUGAAAAGAACUUUGAAGAGAGAGUUCAAGAGUACGUGAAACCGCUGAGAGGCAAACUGGUGGAGCUGAAAGGGCUUGGAGGAAUUCAGCCGUUGGGUAUUGUCAUAACCGUGGUGUGUCUGAUCUCACGACAGCGCACUCGGCUAACGUCAAUUCCAUAGGUGCACUUUCCUCUUUAGCCCAACCACGACCGGUAUAGUGUGAUUGUCCAUCUUACCUGGAAGGUAGCGUUGACUUCGGUGAGCGUAUUAUAGACAGGUUUAUGGAGCGAUUCGUGUACCGGAACCUAACGCCUGCCUCCUCGGAGGCUCACAUGUUGGCUGUCUUGUGAAUGAUUUCUGAUUUCACUACUUCGGUAGGGGAGUUGGAGUCUUUUGCCUUACGGUCGGCCUCUGUGAUUGGCGUUGAUACAGUCUGUGGUUGUGAAGUAGGUAGUCCACCUGACCCGUCUUGAAACACGGACCAAGGAGUCUAACUUGUGCGCGAGUCAUUGGGUUCUACGAAACCUAAAGGCGCAGUGAAGGUAAAGAUUUACAGUGGUAAAUUGAGGUGGGAUAUUGGGUUACGUGCUCAAUCGCACCACCGGCCCGUUCUACUUGUACCUCAAGAGGGCGGAGCAAGAGCGUACACGUUGGGACCCGAAAGAUGGUGAACUA
rnacentral:rRNA from 1 species